GCACAGAUCACUUCCUUGCCACUUCCCGAUUUAACAGUGUGCCAUCAGCCUUCCAAUGUUGUCAUGUGCAGCUCACCCCUUUGCACCACACACUAAGAUCAUAAGGCAAAGCCAACAGAACAACCCAGAAGAGCAGUCAUGUUGAGACUGUGACAUCACUCCCCACAGGAAACUUGUUAUGACCAAAGAAGUCAGCCUGGUCUAGGCAACUCUCCAUAAGGGUCUUCCAGAGGAGCCAAUGAAGAGACUUUACUGAAGGGAACAUUUUACAGAGGCUAGACACUACAGCCUAGCACUGGUAGCUUCAACAGAAGACAAAAAAGUGUCAUAGGAGUCCAAGGACAGCCAAAAUUUUGUGGUGGUGGAAGAUGGGCUUCCUGCUAAAAACUAUCUUGGGGAUCACAGCUAUCACCAGCAUCUCAGAAAUGGGAAUGAAACAUCCUGGUAGUUCUCCAAACUCCUGCUGAUGCUCCCAUUGACCAAGAUCCAGGAGAGUGAUACUGAAGCCGCACCUUGGACAGGAAGAAGCGACGCAUUCUGGGCAGUCAGCAUGGUGUAGGAUGAAACAGAUGGGCAUUAUACUGAGCUGGCCCUGCAUGUAGGUGUCCACUGUACUGGCUAGGUGAUCUCGGGUAAGUACCUCUCUAAUUACCUAUGAAGUCCUCAGGAUUUUACCAACAAGACAUAAAGAUCUUAGAUUCCACGAUCUGCCAAGGUCAUCCUCAAAAACUCUGAAGAAGGCCUUUUUAGUCAGAUGAGGAAGUGGCCCUGCCUUUCUUGAACUACUGUUUUCUUCAGAAGCCCAGAAGAACACUACCACACCAGGUACCCAACAAGGCUUCUGGAAGUCUGGUGUACAGAGCAUCACCCGGGGACUCUGAUGAGCUACAGAUUCUGAUUCUGUGGGUCCAAGUCUGCCCAAGACUGCAUUUCUAAGAUCUCAGGUAGCAGAUGGUACUGGUCCAUGGACCACACAGUGAACAACAGGGCACAUGGAACACAGUUGGCAUCCCAAGAUACAAGUGAAAGAGAAGGUAAGCACCCUAAGGUCCCUUCCAGUUCUUAAAAAAAAAAAGUCCUAAGAUUCUAAAGGAUGAAAUUAGAGAAAUGCAGAAUGCUGCCGCUGUGUCUGAUUUCUUCCAUCCCAGGAAGAGAAAGUAGCAGCAUUGCAUGUGGACAGUGGGUUGGCCAGGCCCAGGGCUUUCUCUGCUGUCUCUGACCUCUUGGCAGCCCAGAGAAUUCAGUACAUGGGGCCUGAGUUGCCCAGAGAAACUGUGAGCGAAGAUGGGAGAGAGGAGAUGAGAAAAAGCUCUGCCUUCAGUGAGGCUUCUCCCCCGUGGCCACCUCUGGAGGCCUGGAAGGGGAUCCCUGGUUUGACUACAAAUCCUUGCCUGUUUCCUUUUCAACUUGCUCUUCUAGUCUGCAGACCAUGAAUCACAUCCCACUCCACCACCUGCCACUCAAAAUGUACAUCUGCUUGCAUUUGGUUGAGACCAACAGCAACAGAUGGCAGUUAACCUAGAAGGGGGGGAAGCAAUCCUUUGGAAGGAUGAGAUGGAGCUCAGGGGACAGAAGGAAACACUGGACAGGGACCUCACAAUGGGAGCCGGUCAGGCAGCAGAUAGAAACCCAAGGGUGUUCUCUUUUGAUUGAAAUGUCUCCAAUUGUUUUCCAUUCUUACAUCACUCCCCUAAAAAUUCAAGAGUCCCAGGAGAAAGAAACUGAUGGCCAUGCUUGUGUUGCCAUGAGGAAAAUAGAGACUGUUGCCCAAGAAGGGGAUGUGUGUGCUGGUCAGUCAGAUUGACGAUGUUUACCACAGAUACAGAAUCUACUCCCUGCAAUGCCAAAGGUUACAAAGAACAGGUAGAAACCACAUUCCUGAACACACACAGCAAUAUUCUUGGCCCUGGGGUGCCCCUAUAGCAUGCAAUUUUUCCUGUAAAAGGUCUAUCUUAGCACAACAAAUUUUCUUAGGAAUGGACAACAUACACUCUACUUUCACUGCUGGUACCAGAAUUUGCCUUUGGUCUCACCUCUGUUUUGCCCCUGUAGGAAGUUUUGAUCAUAUCAGGCAUCAGCAGCAGUUGGGAUGGAGAGGAGAGUCUCACCAAGCUGCAUUGUGGGGCAGAAUCUGGAUGGAUGCCCAGGCUCACUUGCCAGUGUUCAGAUUUUAUAUUUAUGCCUCAGAAAAAGUAGACAUGCCUGUGAAUUGUAGCUCUCUGGAAGAUUCCACAAUGGAGACUGGGAUGUCCAUGAGACCCAGCAGUCCAGGAACACAACACCAGUAUGUUCAGGACACAGCCUGACUCCAGAGGGUUCCAUCGAACUCCUAACAAGAACAGCUGCCCUAUUUCCUGCCUCCAACUCUGAGCAGGAAACAAAAUGUGCGCUAGCCGACUUAGUAGACAGAAUCUCAUUGGGGCUUAGAUCUGCAGUAGCCACUGGCCCCAUGUAGCUCAAAAUAUACUACUUUGAACAGAGAUGCAUUACAUUCUCACUGUAACUUAUGCCAGCUUUCAAAGACUUAGUAUGAAAAAAUAGAACAUAAAAUAUCUCAUAAAUGAUUUUUCACAUUGAUUUUAUGUUAAAAUUUUUUUUGAGGCCAUCAGGUUCAAUAAAAUAAAUAAAAUUAUUUUACAUGUUUCUUCUUUGUAAAAUGUGGCUACUAGAAAAUUUUAAAUUAUCAAUGUGACUCUGUUGCACAGAGCUGGCCCGGGCUCCCUGGAUUUUCACAGCUCAGUAACUCCUCAUCUCUCAUGCUUCCAUACUGAGCCAGGCUCUGUGCUGAGCAAGCAUUGAGCAGAGAUGAAUAGAGCUCAUUCUCUACCCUCACCUUCCCAAUCCAUCGCAGACACACACUCACUCUUCUCUUUUGAUUAAUUUAAUGCUUUAGUAAUAGAGGUUUACAGGGGGUUCUCGUGACCAUCCUGUCCUUACUGCGCCAAAAUUAUUGUGUUACCUGGAUGUCUGGGGAAAAGGUUGCACACAGUUGGAUAUUUGUGUAUUUCCAAUCUAGACUAGCUUUUAAUGUCAUUGAUUGGUUUAUGAGUAUAUGCUUACAAAAUGCAAAUACACAAAAACUUUAAAUGUUCUUUUUGACAUAUCAGGAAAUUUUUAUGUGUCAUAGACAGAGGGGCAUAGCCUGACAUCUUAUUAGCUCUGUGACCUACUCAUACCUCUGCCUGCUAACUCAUACAGAGGGGCAAAAAGUAGAGAUGAAAAAAUCAAGAGAGUGGCACGCAACUUUAAAUCCUAACUAUGGUAUAUUCCAUGAGUUUUUUUGAAAAUGGCAUAGUUUCAGAAACUUUCAUGUCUAGGAAUAAUAACAGCAGAACUUGUUAUGUCCGAGACUCUCCUAAAGCUUUAUACCUAUUAACCUCUUUCAUUCACCUUGACCAUAAUUCCAGGAACUAGAUACUACUGUGAUUUCUAUUUUAGAGAUGAAAAAGUAAUUUGUCUAAGGUCCCGCAGCUAGUGAACUGGGAUUUGAAUGAGAUCGUCUUCUCCAGGUUUGUGUCCUGGAGUCACAGGAAGGGGGAUUGAAGCCUAGAUUUCAUGGACGCAUGUGUGUCCAUGUGAUGGCUCAGGUGAUGGAAGAGUCAAAACUAGACUCUGUGGCAGACAUUUGAUGCAAGGGUUAAGAUGCUGCUUGGGAUACCUGCAUCCACAGAUCCAGCUUCCUGAUAAUGUACACUCCGGGAGGCAGUGGGGAUGAUUCAAAUACUUGGGACCUUGCCAGUCACAGGAGAGACUGAUACUGAGUUCCAGGCUCCUGGCUUCAACCUGGUCCAGCCCUAGCUGUUGCAGGCACUUGGGAGUGAGCCAACAGAUAGAAGAUCUACCUUUGUCUCUCUAAGUGGGUCUGCCUUUUAAAAUAAAAUGAAAAUUAAAGUUUUUUUUAAAAAAAGAGAACUCUGUUCUCACUGCCCCAGUAUCCCUACCCUCCAAAUCAAACCAUGGCAACAUCCAAAAUGAACAGAAAUUUUGAUAGCAGACCUAGGAGCUUGGGGAUGGAAAAUGAGGAGAAGUAGGUGGGAUUUCUCAUCUCUCUUGACCCCGGUGGAAGCAAGGCCAACUGAGUCACACCCUGAGUAAUGAACAACAGCAGAAAGAUCAAAGGUGUUGACAUCAGCCUAUUCUAGAACCACAUCUUGUCACAGCCACUUAACAGUUGUGGAAUCUUGCACAGGUUACCUAGCUUCUUUGAGCUCUGUCCCUUACUCUGUAAAAUAGGGCUAAGAACACUUUCUUGUAGAAACAGAAUGAGAAUUUAUGUAGAAUCCACGGGCAAAACAACUCACACUAUAACUGGGGCAAUGUGAGUACUUGACAAAUAUUGGUUCCUCUCAAGAUGCCUUCAAUCCCUUCAACUUUAACUGGAACUAAAUAAGGCUGCCUGAGAUUUCUACAAAAGGGUCUAUGGUAGAGUAAAAUAACAAGGGUCUAGAGGUUUGCCUCAGUGCAUGAAGAGGGGAACCUCCACACCACUCCCUACAUCGCAGGUUGGGCAAGGGUUACCACCAGGGGAUGUGCCCAUGGCCUCACUCUGUGUUGCUAGAAAGAAAGAGGAGGAUUGUGAACUCUCGCUUGGACCACAGAGGCCCUUUGUAUCUCUCAGGAGAGGGAAGGGUGGGGCCUCAGGCU